rnacentral:rRNA from 1 species
UACGGAGGGUGCGAGCGUUAUCCGGAAUUACUGGGUUUAAAGGGUGCGUAGGCGGCUUGCUAAGUCAGGAGUGAAAGGCCACGGCUUAACCGUGGGAUUGCUUUUGAUACUGGCGAGCUUGGAUUAGGACGAGGUUGGCGGAAUGUGGCAAGUAGCGGUGAAAUGCAUAGAUAUGCCAUAGAAUACCGAUUGCGAAGGCAGCUGACUAGACCUAUAUUGACGCUGAGGCACGAAAGCGUGGGGAGCGAACAGG